rnacentral:rRNA from 1 species
GACGAACGCUGGCGGCGUGCUUAACACAUGCAAGUCGAACGGAAAGGCCCUGCUUUUGUGGGGUGCUCGAGUGGCGAACGGGUGAGUAACACGUGAGUAACCUGCCCUUGACUUUGGGAUAACUUCAGGAAACUGGGGCUAAUACCGGAUAGGAGCUCCUGCUGCAUGGUGGGGGUUGGAAAGUUUCGGCGGUUGGGGAUGGACUCGCGGCUUAUCAGCUUGUUGGUGGGGUAGUGGCUUACCAAGGCUUUGACGGGUAGCCGGCCUGAGAGGGUGACCGGCCACAUUGGGACUGCGAUACGGCCCAGACUCCUACGGGAGGCAGAAGUGGGGAAUAUUGCACAAUGGGCGGAAGCCUGAUGCAGCGACGCCGCGUGCGGGAUGACGGCCUUCGGGUUGUGAACCGCUUUCGCCUGUGACGAAGCGUGAGUGACGGUAAUGGGUAAAGAAGCACCGGCUAACUACGUG